AUUGAACGCUGGCGGCAUGCCUUACACAUGCAAGUCGAACGGCAGCACGGGAGCAAUCCUGGUGGCGAGUGGCGAACGGGUGAGUAAUAUAUCGGAACGUGCCCGGUCGUGGGGAUAACGUAGCGAAAGCUACGCUAAUACCGCAUACGAUCUACGGAUGAAAGCGGGGGAUCGCAAGACCUCGCGCGAUUGGAGCGGCCGAUAUCAGAUUAGGUAGUUGGUGAGGUAAAGGCUCACCAAGCCGACGAUCUGUAGCUGGUCUGAGAGGACGACCAGCCACACUGGGACUGAGACACGGCCCAGACUCCUACGGGAGCAGCAGUGGGAAUUUUGGACAAUGGGCGCAAGCCUGAUCCAGCAAUGCCGCGUGCAGGAUGAAGGCC
rnacentral:rRNA from 1 species